AGCGGCGGACGGGUGAGUAAUGCCUAGGAAUCUGCCUGGUAGUGGGGGAUAACGUUCCGAAAGGAACGCUAAUACCGCAUACGUCCUACGGGAGAAAGCAGGGGAUCUUCGGGCCUUGCGCUAUCAGAUGAGCCUAGGUCGGAUUAGCUAGUUGGUGAGGUAAUGGCUCACCAAGGCGACGAUCCGUAACUGGUCUGAGAGGAUGAUCAGUCACACUGGAACUGAGACACGGUCCAGACUCCUACGGGAGGCAGCAGUGGGGAAUAUUGGACAAUGGGCGAAAGCCUGAUCCAGCCAUGCCGCGUGUGUGAAGAAGGUCUUCGGAUUGUAAAGCACUUUAAGUUGGGAGGAAGGGCAGUAAGUUAAUACCUUGCUGUUUUGACGUUACCGACAGAAUAAGCACCGGCUAACUUCGUGCCAGCAGCCGCGGUAAUACGAAGGGUGCAAGCGUUAAUCGGAAUUACUGGGCGUAAAGCGCGCGUAGGUGGUUCGUUAAGUUGGAUGUGAAAGCCCCGGGCUCAACCUGGGAACUGCAUCCAAAACUGGCGAGCUAGAGUACGGUAGAGGGUGGUGGAAUUUCCUGUGUAGCGGUGAAAUGCGUAGAUAUAGGAAGGAACACCAGUGGCGAAGGCGACCACCUGGACUGAUACUGACACUGAGGUGCGAAAGCGUGGGGAGCAAACA
rnacentral:rRNA from 1 species